rnacentral:rRNA from 1 species
GACGAACGCUGGCGGCGUGCUUAACACAUGCAAGUCGAACGGUGAAGCGCCUUCCUUUUUGGUGGGUGUGGAUGAGUGGCGAACGGGUGAGUAACACGUGAGUAACCUGCCCCCUUCUUCUGGAUAACCGCAUGAAAGUGUGGCUAAUACGGGAUAUUCUGGGUCUGUCGCAUGAUGGGUCUGGGAAAGAUAUUGUUUCGGUGGGGGAUGGGCUCGCGGCCUAUCAGCUUGUUGGUGGGGUGAUGGCCUACCAAGGCGGUGACGGGUAGCCGGCCUGAGAGGGUGGACGGUCACACUGGGACUGAGACACGGCCCAGACUCCUACGGGAGGCAGCAGGGGGGAAUAUUGCACAAUGGGCGCAAGCCUGAUGCAGCGACGCCGCGUGAGGGAUGGAGGCCUUCGGGUUGUGAACCUCUUUCGCCAGUGAAGCAGGCCUGCCUCGUUUGUGGGUGGGUUGACGGUAGCUGGACAAGAAGCGCCGGCUAACUACGUG